GACGAACGCUGGCGGCGUGCCUAAUACAUGCAAGUCGAGCGAAUCGGCGGCUGGGUGAGUAACGCGUGGGUAACCUGCCCUUAAGUCUGGGAUACCAUUUGGAAACAGAUGCUAAUACCGGCUCCUAAAGGAUGGACCUGCGAUGCAUUGGCUGGUUGGUAAGGUAACGGCCUACCAAGGCGAUGAUGCAAAGCCGUGUGGAAAGACUGAUCGGCAAAAUUGGGACGAGGAAACGGCCCAAACUCCUACGGGAGGCAGCAGUAGGGAAUCUUCCACAAUGGACGAAAGUCUGAGGGAGCAACGCGGCGUGAGGGAGGAAGGUUUUCGGAUCGUAAAGCUCUGUUGUUGGGGAAGCGGUAAUCAACCAGAAAGUCACGGCUAACUACGUGCCAGCAGCCGCGGUAAUUC
rnacentral:rRNA from 1 species